UGGCUCAAUUGGUAGAGCAUGGUGUUUGCAACGCCAGGGUUGUGGGUUCGAUUCCCAC
rfam:Salmo salar isolate Sally breed double haploid chromosome ssa01, whole genome shotgun sequence.